CCUACGGGUGGCAGCAGUCGAGAAUCAUUCACAAUGGGGGAAACCCUGAUGGUGCGACGCCGCGUGGGGGAAUGAAGGUCUUCGGAUUGUAAACCCCUGUCAUGUGGGAGCAAAUUAAAAAGAUAGUACCACAAGAGGAAGAGACGGCUAACCCUGUGCAAGCAGCCGCGGUAAUACAGAGGUCUCAAGCGUUGUUCGGAAUCACUGGGCGUAAAGCGUGCGUAGGCUGUUGCGUAAGUCGUGUGUGAAAGGCGCGGGCUCAACCCGCGGACGGCACAUGAUACUGCGAGACUAGAGUAAGGGAGGGGGAACCGGAAUUCUCGGUGUAGCAGGGAAAUGCGUAGAUAUCGAGAGGAACACUCGUGGCGAAGGCGGGUUCCUGGACAUUAACUGACGCUGAGGCACGAAGGCCAGGGGAGCGAAAGGGAUUAGAUACCCGGGUAGUC
rnacentral:rRNA from 1 species